GACGAACCGUGCGAACGUUAUUCGGAAUCACUGGACUUAAAGCGCGUGUAGGCGGGCCGGAACGUCGGUCGCUGAAAUCCCCCGGCUCGAACCGGGGAAGGGGCGCCGAUACGACCGGCCUGGGGGGACGUAGGGGGAGCUGGAACUUCCGGUGGAGCGGUGAAAUGCGCAGAUAUCGGGAAGAACACCCGUGGCGAAGGCGGUUCUCUGGGACGGUACUGACGCUGGAGACGCGAAAGCGUGGGGAGCGAACAGG
rnacentral:rRNA from 1 species